GACGAACGCUGGCGGCGUGCUUAACACAUGCAAGUCGAACGGAAAGGCCCUGCUUUUGUGGGGUGCUCGAGUGGCGAACGGGUGAGUAACACGUGAGUAACCUGCCCUUGACUGUGGGAUAACUUCAGGAAACUGGGGCUAAUACCGGAUAGGAGCUCCUGCUGCAUGGUGGGGGUUGGAAAGUUUCGGCGGUUGGGGAUGGACUCGCGGCUUAUCAGCUUGUUGGUGGGGUAGUGGCUUACCAGGGCUAUGACGGGUAGCCGGCCUGAGAGGGUGACCGGCGACAUUGGGACUGAGAUACGGACCAGACUCCUACGGGAGGCAGCAGUGGGGAAUAUUGCACAGUGGGCGGAAGCCUGAGGUAGAAACGCCGCGUGCGGGAUGACGGCCUUCGGGUUGUGAACAGAUUUCGCCGUUGACGAGGCGUGCGUGACGGUAAUGGGUAAAGAAGCACCGGCUAACUACGUG
rnacentral:rRNA from 1 species